UACGGAGGGGGCUAGCGUUGUUCGGAAUUACUGGGCGUAAAGCGCGUGUAGGCGGCAGGGCAUGUCGGAUGUGAAAUCCCGUGGCUCAACCACGGAAGUGCACCCGAAACUGCCCCAGCUGGAGUCUCGGAGAGGAAGGCGGAAUGCUUGGUGUAGAGGUGAAAUUCGUAGAUAUCAGCGGAACACCGGUGGACGAAGGCGGCCUCUGGACGAUGCUGACGCUGAGACGCGAAAGCGUGGGGAGCAACAGGA
rnacentral:rRNA from 1 species